rnacentral:misc_RNA from 1 species
CCGCCUGCCAACAUGCCUUUCACCGCAAGCGACAUCAUCAAGAUCAUCUUCGCCAUCAUCCUCCCCCCUCUUGGUGUUUUCCUCGAGCGUGGAUGCAAUGCCGACUUUCUUAUUAACAUCCUCCUGACCAUCCUUGGUUACAUUCCCGGCAUCAUUCACGCCUUGUACAUUAUAUUCAAGUUCUAGCGGGGGCGCUCGACAAACCUCUACGAUACCCUUUUUUCUUUCUCCCUCAAAUUUCUCAUCUUCUCGGUCGGCACCAUGUCAUCAAAGUUCAAUGUCGGUUCGGUUAGCUUGAAGUGCCUACGGAUUAGUUAACCUGGCUCGACAUGGAUCUGCCGCAGCCGGUGAUUCUGGGGCUUUAUUAUAUUCUUCAUUUCUACGUUAAUGCCGGCUCCACAUGGGACGUGCUAAGCGA